GUGUAAAAAUUCAAGCAAAAGCUGUUAGGAUAAGGCUCGUCAUAGAUCAGUAAAAGAUUAAAAAGAAUACAUUUGUUCUCUUUUGAACUGUGGUUUGAAGAGAGUUUCCUGGACCGGUGCCAGGCGUUUCGGAGCGGGGGCUAAAAAGCCAUUCAUUCAAUCUCUCAUGGACCAGCAUUUCUGCGUCCGCAGCUUGGAAAAUAAAUAGUCGGGGCCUAUUUCCGGUGCCCGGAAUCGUUUUGUCAGUUUUUUUCAGAAAACGCGGAGCGCAUCAGUUACCGAAUAAUAAUCGGCUCUUGUUUCAGAUUCGCAAGAAGAUACUCACGCUUUCCUGAUAUCACCGCUGGAGGCGGUCCGUUGCACCUCGAGUAUCUUGUAGUAGUCCACCAUCGUUCAAGUAUGCUCGUGCCCGGGAUGUCAGAGCUUAGACAACCACCUGUCGAACAAUGCGAGAACAGUUAUUGCAAUUAGCAGGCCAAUUAGGAAAUGACAUCAAUGCCUAACAGAAGUCGUUAAAACCUAGGGUUGGAUGUCUAAUUGCACUAUUUGGACAUCCGACUAUAACCGCGAGCAGAAAAUAUCCAUGGAUUACUCUCGGAAAUGUGCUCGUUGUAUCCGUUGUAGACCAAAGCGCUUGUUAGUUCUAGCGUGAAUCCUUUGUAUCUGCCAUGUGGGCACGUGAGUCACCGACUACGUCACACGACUUGGCUGAGAAUGUUGUUGAACCGUGAUGCAGGCAGAUUUCGUUCGAUUAUUCACCGAGAAUGGUGUAACACCGCGAGUCUAACGCAGCUAACAUUUCCUAGACGACUUUCUAGAGCUUGCGUUCGACUUCUAGAACACUUUCAUCGUCGAAAGCUUCCCGGCGUGUCAAAGGAACCUUCGACCGCCCACCUGUUGCCAUCAACAGCAAAGAGAUUCUCCUCGGAAGCUCUCGAUGAACGUCGCGCUCGCGCGAGCAGGACAUUCUUUCCGACACGGAGAGGAACACACGAAGAGAAGUGCACACGUUUCAGAAUAAAAGCAGCGAAAGCGACGAUCCUGAAGAGGCACACCGAUAGUUCGCGUACCUGGCACGGAUCGACACCAUCCCCGAUCACCGUUAUGGUCCUAGCGUGACAACACUUUCCAGCGACGUGGACAUCUCCCUCGAGAACAUGACUAGACUGCGAUCACCGGACCGAUCGAGCAAUCGUCCGCAAUGCAGUCAUCGGAUUUGGCCCGGAAGACACUUCGGGGACUGCCUUGGCGAAACUGCAGUGCGGAUAAUUACCAGAUCGCUUUCUGUACGCGAAUCCCCCGGAGAUGAGCAAGUUUGAAAAUUCGUACGAGUCACAAGUGCAUUCGGUUAUGACACCGGCAAAGUGGAGAAGCGAGGAGACACGCGGAAAACCGGUUGUUCCCGAAGAGAGACGGUUUCACGAGGACGGAGGCUCGUGGCGGACUACUCGAACGGAAAACGCGGCUCAAAGUCAAACACGACUGGACCAAUGAAAACGCUAAAGUUAGCCGAGACGUGUAUCGAAAAUAGUUCGAAACACGGAGGUGGAGGUCAUUACGUUAUCCCGCUUUGGCUCCUCCUUCUUUCAAGAAAGAGAGAGAGAGACGGAGAGACUCGCUUCGCGUAGCACACACGUCGAUCCAGUUCGAGUUUGCUGCAUUCUAGUCUUCCCAUUCGACCGUGCUAGAGUGCACCCUCGAAUAAUUUGGCAACUACAGCGUUUUUCUCUCUCCAGGAUCUGCACAAAAAGCGCACAAGCAGCAAGCCAGGAUUCCAAAGAUAUUGACUUUCUUCUCGACCGGCUCGAAGCUGACCAGGCUGGAUCUGGCAGAGCCUGUUACUGACCGAACAAAACUCGGUGCUGCAGCCAAUUUACCAGCAGCCAGGUGAAGCCAUUAGCUGUUAGGUUCAAUAAGAUCAACGUUGACCCUCGACGAACAGAGUCUAAGAAUGUAUACCUUUCGGGCGGGGGCAAAGGGCAAGAGCCAGCGAGCUGGAGCAAGCGCGACCGGUGUGAAUGCGAGAGCGACGAAACUCGUCGGUUCAGGAUCUAAGGACAAUGGCACGACAGGGGACGCGGUCCUCGAGGCGAAACUGUUGGAAAAACGCCUACAACGACCCACGUCGCGAUGACUGUUCCCCUUCGCGUUUCUACCUGGGACGAGCAAACCGUGUAGGCAGGCCAAAAUCGCCUCCAAAAGCGACGUGACUCACGGAACCCGCGAUUAUCGCGUGAAUACUCGCAGAUUUAUUAUAAGCUACGUUUCCCGAAGCCCACCGUGUCCACUGGUGUCGUUACUAAGUAAAGCGCACCUAUCCAUAACGGAACAAAGGACCAUAUCGACACGGCUUUCGAAUAACAGAAGUGUCCGAGGAAA